rnacentral:tRNA from 1 species
UCAGUUAUAGGUUAAAAAAACUUCUAAUUUGUGGUGUUAGAGAUUCCUAGUGAUAAUUGAA